rnacentral:lncRNA from 1 species
UAUCAACCAGUGGAACUCCUCACUUGGGGGAGCUGGGGCAGGCCAGUGGGUACCUCAUGGGAUGUGGGGCAGGCCGUCCCCAUGCUCUCUCUCUGCUGUUUAUGUAGCAAUUCGCCUUGUAGUCUGAAGCAUACGAACUUGUAUCAGCAUCUAUAUGUUUAUGUCCCUAUCAUCUUAUAUUUGGAUAAAAUUAUUACUGAAUAAAAUAGCAUCAAGAAAAAAACAAGAGGAACAUAUGAUCAAAAUGCGGUCUGUUAGUGUGCUAAUAUGCAUCUUUGGUGGUACUUUUGCUAAAAACUGAGUGCCCAAAUGAAAGUAAGUGCAACCAGGAGAAAGUAAAACAACCAUACACUGCCUAAAAACAUAGUACAAACUUCACUGACCCUGCUGAAGACGAAAACAAGAGGCUGGAUGAAGAAGCUGCUCCACAGUACUCAAGGAUCGUGGUGAGAGAUGAAAACUUAGAGCUUCAUGGAGAAAUUGCAUGUCUGAAGGUUGUAGAUAGGGCUAGUCAAUCAGUUCAGGUACAAAAAGGGCCCCAGACUGCAGCAAAAUGAACUGAAAGGAUAUCUUCUGAACCUAUAAAAGCUCCAGUUUCUCUAGCAAGGGGAAAAUUCAGAGUUAUACCUAUUGAGUAGAUUUCCAGGCCCGACAGUAUGCAGUGUGCAUGCGAACUCGACCUCUAAACAGAAUACAAUCCGUGCUGGCGGCUGAUAGCUUUCCGAUUGGAACACACAACACGGCUCCCUGCAAAAAGCAAAAAACACAAUAUGGCUUGGCUGAUUGAUUUUCAUUGACUUGAUUCCCGGGAGGAUUACGUACGCUCAAGAUGAGAAAGGCACACCUCCGUACGCCUGAAUCAAGUGCAUUGGUAUACACUAGGCCGUUGCCACACAUCCUGGAGAUACAAGGCACGUCAACAACGCAUCUAUACGCGGCAACGUUGCAGACACAUAGACGGUCAAUCGCACGCACAAUGUCUGUACCAUAUCAGCACAUCCUGUACAAUAUAACUGCUAUGACAUCAAGUGCAUCGGUACCAUGACGCCACCGUAACACCGUUAUCAACUUUGUAUAAUAUAACUGCAGGUACUACUUCUGUGAUUAAAUUUUUGCAUUCUAACAUGUCUGAACAAGUUCCUUACAACUAAUCUGGUAUCAUAUGCAUUAUUAUAGUAGAGUAAAACACUUAUUUCUAAUCAAAAUUUAUAGAUAAAUCUUCUAUUAUAUACUUAAGACAAAAGGCAAACAAGCCAUCACGUUUAUACACAUAUGCUCAAAGAAUUACCAUUGAUUUUAUUUAGAACGGUCGAGAUUGAAAGAUGAACAAAGAUAUGUACAGCACCUAUUCGGUACAAUAAAUUGUUGACACGUAUAAAGAGAUCUAUCAUGAAAAAAAAAACAGUCUUUGGCACGUGAAAAGAGUUUAUCAUAGGCAGGUAUGCGAUAAUCUAUCAUAGAAGGGAACCCAAGGAACUCUAUGCUUGGCUAGGAAAAAGGCCAAUCCGGUUCAACUUCAGAAAAGAAUAGAAGUCCGGUUGCAAGACUGCUGCUUCUUUGCUGGAAUUUAAGCCGAUGCAAGCCGAUGCAAAAGCUAGAGAAAGUCACGUACAAAUAAAAAGGCAAGGUCCUACUAUGACAUCUACUAUCCAAGCAGACACAAAAAAGAACAGAAAAACAUACGAUGCAAGCCUAUUAAAUCGGAACGUGCACACGGUCAGCCCAACAUGUUGUAGAUUCUUAAAAAGAAAAACAUGUUGUACAGGGACACAAUUGUUUUAUCUUGGAGUUGGUACAUGGGCACAAAUUAAUAACGGCUCGAGAGGCUAUGGUAUUUUUUUUAUGGAGGCUAUAGGCUAGCUCUACGCAUGUUGUAACACAAACAGGAAUUCACGGUGGGCAAAUCAGUGCUGAUGUCACCUGUCAAAUCUUACGUGCAAAUAUCAUAGAUAAUACCAGCAGCCUAAUUGAUCAAAUCUUGCAUGCAAUCAGCGUUUCAGUGGCACUCAAGAAGUGGGCGAUGCAUUUAUUUGCUUAUCCUUACAAACUCCAUAAAAAAUCCAUACGAGUUAGAAAGUGAAUGGCAAAUGAGAUGGUUGCCCUGAAACUAAAUGAAAUGAUAAACUAAAAGACAAUAGCAAGUUUGUUUUUUGUAUGAAAUCAAUAACAAAACUUGCAAUCACUUUAUAUAAAAUUGUUGGUUUGAUUUAUAGAAAAUCAGAAUUAAUAAUGAAACAAUAUCAAAAACUAUUUUGUGCAGUGAUACAAUGCCCCUAAAUCACUAAAUGCAGACUAACCUUUAUAUAUGCACCAUCUUAUUUUCUGAACAAAUACUUCGCAUCUCUGCAGAUAUGGAUAUGAAGAAUCAAAAUUAGUAGGUAAUUUGACAUUCUUCUUUCCUGCAAAAUCUAAAAGAGUCAAGUAAAAAUAUCUAAAAGAGUCCAUAAUUAACUAAAUUUUGGAAAUUGCCGAUCAAGAGUUAAUACAUGAAACCAAUCCUAAAAUUCGAAUAAAAAUAAAAUCACUUUGAAUGUGCUAGGCAUACAUAAAAAUCUUCUAUUAGGUGACGAUGACAUAGUAAAGAGGAAUCAAUGAAUCACUUUGAAUGUGCUAGGCAUGUUUAACGAGUGAAUUGCGUCAAGUCUCAACAUUGCUCAUGGUCAUACCUAAUAAAGAGGAAUCAAUGAAUUAGAUUUGGGGGCUUAUAGGCAAUUGCUCAUGGUAGUAAAGAGGAAUCAAUGAAUUAGAUUUGGAUUCACAGCCAUACCUAAUAAACCAGCAAGUCUCAGCAUUGCUCAUGGUCCUUCAAUUUCUCACUGCCCCUUCUAUUUGGCUCGUCAAUCCUUCACUACCCUGCAGCAAGAC